UGUCUUCGGGGCGGGGUGCGAUUCCCCACCGGCAGUGAGAGUCUGCGAGCCGAGCGUUUCGAUUGCGAAGCGGGAGGUUGAACCGGUGCAAUUCCGGUACCGACGGUACAGUCCGGAUGUGAGAGGAUG
rnacentral:ncRNA from 1 species